CUUAAAAAGGUCUUUCUUUCUUUCUUUCAAGAUGGCCGCCGACAGCUGAAGCCCUUCUAAGCUCCUCCAGCUCAGUGGGAUCAAAGCUUUUGAACAAAAAAUCAGCAUUCGAUGACAGGCCAAAAGGGGAUAUGGUUAUGUGUGACUGGAAAAGGAACAUCCUACAUGAAGAUGUGACAUGUUCUUUUGCAAGGGGAGCUUGUUUCCCCUGGGAAACAGGAUCAUCUGCUUCAGAUUGGAAGCCGGCCUCAGGUUUAACUAUGGAAUGGCUACUGCUUCUUAAUACACCAUGACACAACUUAAACAGGAUUUGCUGGUGCAUGCUUACAUGUGCAAAAAUAAGCCGUUUUGAAUUCGAUUGUGGGUUUAUCCUUGUUGAAGCAAAUAUAUCUGCAUGUAUAAAUAAAGAGGACAAGUGAACA